AACAGAUCUUGCGUUCCUGAGGCACAUCAGUCAGAGCUGAAGCAUACAGCGAGAAAAUGCAGCACAAGACGAGAGCAGGAAGAGGCUGGAGCGGCCUGCCCUGAGGUGGGGAGCAGAACCUGUGCGCUGCUGAGCUGCAUUCAGCUAAGGACAAAGGAACUGAAGCACGCAGGAAGAUGAGACGUGUGAAGGGUGAAAGCGCAGUCAUGCGGAGGAGGCACACCCAAGGCAAAUAAUGAAGAGAGAGAAUCUUAUCAUCACCUGGAGGUUGUGGUGAGGAUCCGUGUUUCAAAGAUUGGGAGUAAUUUGGGUGUUCAAGAGGAAUACAAAAAACGCACUGUUGGAGUCAGAAUAUAUGGAGUUUUAAUAUCACAGUGGCA
rnacentral:lncRNA from 1 species